AGGGUAACAAUUUUCUUUGAUGACAAGAUUUUGGAGUAUUAUAAUUUUCACACCAUAUUAAAUGACGUUGAAUAGAAGUAAAUAGUUUCAAUCAAUACUUAUAAAACAAGCACCUAUAAAGGUUAUUCUUUUAUAGUUUUUGGUACAUAGUGUUCAGUUGGAAGCAGCAGCAGCAGGGGUGGGAUUAAGAGUGAUUUCCACAUUGUCAUGGACUCCUUGCAGCAGCAAUUCACCUUCAUAUGUUAAUACUUUUCGUUUUUUAGCUGCUCUUAGUGUCCCAACAAGUGCUUCAAAUAUAUUUGCACAUUGGUCAUCAUGAAAUAGCGUUCCAAAUGUAACCUUCACAAUACAAUCCAACCCACAUUUUGUUCAUUCUUCUCAACAAAACAACAAGUUCACAUGAUGAUUAAAGAAAAUUCCAAAUGCUAGAAUAGUUUUAAAAAAAUUGCAAAAAAUAAAAUAAAUAAUACGGAACAUAUUGAAUCUAUAUUAUAUUAUGUUUAUUAGUUGAAGAGAAAAUGAAAACAGAAAACAUUGGAAGUAAAUGGGCCCUAAUUUAUGUACAUAGACAGAAGAAACUAUCUCAGGUUUUUUUAACUUCUCAUCUACCUGUGAUCAAGCAUUCAUGUAUCAGAAGAAACUAUGGAGGUAAAAACUUGCUGGCUCAUCAUCAAAUCAUAUCAACACCAUAGCCAAUUAUUAUGAUUUGCUUAGAUGAAGGACGCUUGUGGACAAGCCUUAGCUUUGUAUCACAAAGAGAAAGGAGGUAGGCUGUUCUUUAGUUCUUCACACAAGUCAUCACAAAUAAAAAGAACCAUAUUUUGUUUUUGCUGACCAAAUCAGAUGGUCCAUAAUAAGUAGCAAUUUUAAAUGAAAAUUUUAUGUAUUGGAAUUUGGAGGUAUUUUUUUAAUGUAAUUUGGUUAAUGUGUGUUUACCUGACCCCCAAAGUUGUAUAAAUAGUUUUGAUUAGUGGUAAAGCAUCUUGUGAAAGUUUGAUAGCAUCUUAAAAUUUUGUUUUGUGUAGAUUAAAGUGAAUGAAUGAGCAGGAUAAAGCAAGAUGUGAAAGCAUACACAAAUUCGCUAAGCAAGAUUCCCUCUGCUACGCAAAUUCAAGACAAAAAGUUGCCAGAUUUUGCAGAGCAAAUACGUUUAGUGAGAUGGAAUUCACCAAGCAAAUUAAGACUGAUUUCACCAGACAGAGUGUCCUUCAACACGAAGCAAUUCAAAAUCCGUGUGUCUAAUUUGGAUUUGCCAAGCAAAUUUCACUUACUCAGCUGGUAUAGAAGGGAAAAACUUGUCCAUAACAACCAUCCUUCACAUUCCAAUAAUUAGACAACAAAUUGGAGAGAGAGAUCAGUCUGAGUUGGAGCUCAUUUGGUGUUCUAUGAUUGAAGAUUUCUUUUCAUGUUUACCAUGUAAAUGAAAAGCUAAACUCAUAUUUGUUGGGAUUUGAUGUAAUCAAUCAAACUCUCAUGUAUAUAUAUUUCUGUUAUUCAUCAAUUUCAUUCAUUGAUUUAUUGUUGUUCUCCAUGCUUGGUAUAGUUUGACCACCUACGAUAUGAUUUGUGAUAUGAAGUUUAAUUGGAAAAUGGUUUUUGAAUCUUGAUUUAGGAUAAACCGUCUAUUAACUCUGAUAUUUCUUAGAUUUAAUAUUCCACAAAACCAUGUGUCUAAUUUAAAUGUCUUUGUUAAGAUGGAGAUUAGAUUUAAGGAAUUGAUGAUGUGUGAUUAUAAGAUGGUGAUGUUAUUGAUGUAUAAAGAAACAUGUAUGUUUGAGAAGGAUAUUGAUAAAAUAUAGUCACAAUGCUUUUCUCUUAUCGUAUUUUCAUUACAAAAUUGCCAUCAUUACUUUUGUUACUCUUGAAAAACCAACUGAUAAAUUCUCAAAUUUAAGAUUAUAUAAACUUUGUUGAACAGCUUGAUAUUGCUCAAUAUACUAAUUUUGCAAGCAACUAUUUGACAUCUCAAUGAAAUUGUUCAUGUGAUUCCAAUGGAUGUCGGAUAAACUUUAAUAUCAUGGGAUUUUUAUCAGACUUAAUUAACUCACUCUAUCCUAAAAAAAUGAGUUUUUAAAGUGAAUAUAUCUCUCACCUAUAAACAUCAAAAGUCAUGUAGUUGGGCAUAAUCAAAGUUCAUUAAUUAUCUAAAUUAUAUUAAUUUUCAAAGGACAUGAACUAAGCAUAUACAUAUACAUAUACAUAUGAUGGAUCUAUAGUUUGAUGCAAGAUUAAGAUCUACCUAAUAUGAACUCAAGAUGCAGAUCCAUAAAGGAAAUUGGAAUUCCCUAUACAGAUCUGAAGAAUGAAGAGAAGGAUUUUGAUAUUACCUUGUAAGAACCAUCUGAUUGGAGCUUGCCAAGCCUCUUGAUUUCUUCCUUUAGGCGUCCAACUUCUUCUUCCACGUUCAUGCUUCUGCUUCUGCUUCUGCUUCCAACUUGUUGUCUUCUCUCA
rnacentral:lncRNA from 1 species